rnacentral:rRNA from 1 species
ACCUGCGGAAGGAUCAUUACCGAGUGAGGGCCCUCUGGGUCCAACCUCCCACCCGUGUUUAUUUUACCUUGUUGCUUCGGCGGGCCCGCCUUUACUGGCCGCCGGGGGGCUCACGCCCCCGGGCCCGCGCCCGCCGAAGACACCCUCGAACUCUGUCUGAAGAUUGAAGUCUGAGUGAAAAUAUAAAUUAUUUAAAACUUUCAACAACGGAUCUCUUGGUUCCGGCAUCGAUGAAGAACGCAGCGAAAUGCGAUACGUAAUGUGAAUUGCAAAUUCAGUGAAUCAUCGAGUCUUUGAACGCACAUUGCGCCCCCUGGUAUUCCGGGGGGCAUGCCUGUCCGAGCGUCAUUGCUGCCCUCAAGCCCGGCUUGUGUGUUGGGCCCCGUCCUCCGAUUCCGGGGGACGGGCCCGAAAGGCAGCGGCGGCACCGCGUCCGGUCCUCGAGCGUAUGGGGCUUUGUCACCCGCUCUGUAGGCCCGGCCGGCGCUUGCCGAUCAACCCAAAUUUUUAUCCAGGUUGACCUCGGAUCAGGUAGGGAUACCCGCUGAACUUAAGCAUAUCA